UACGUAGGGUGCAAGCGUUGUCCGGAAUUAUUGGGCGUAAAGAGCUCGUAGGCGGUCUGUCGCGUCGGCUGUGAAAACCUGGGGCUUAACUCCGGGCCUGCAGCCGAUACGGGCAGACUAGAGUUCGGCAGGGGAGACUGGAAUUCCUGGUGUAGCGGUGAAAUGCGCAGAUAUCAGGAGGAACACCGGUGGCGAAGGCGGGUCUCUGGGCCGAUACUGACGCUGAGGAGCGAAAGCGUGGGGAGCAAACAGG
rnacentral:rRNA from 1 species